UUACCUGAACAUAAAUGAAAAGUGGAGAGAGCAACUCUGUCAUUCGAGAGGAAGAAGCCGAGAGCUGAGUCAACAUAAAGAGGAGGAAAAUAAUGGUGACCGUAAGAGUCAAAUACUGGGUUAGCUGAUACUACUCACGACGCUUCUUCAGACUGAAGCACGCCAUCACAGGGAAAGUUCCAGAUGCUGUGGUGAACGGGACUAUGGGGAGGAAAGGAUGCUUCGAGAUUGAGAUCGAUGGCCAUCUUGUGUUCUCCAAGUUAAAGAUGGGAGGAUUUCCUUAUGAGGAGGAUGUGGUGGCUGCUGUCAUCCAGGCUCAGAACGGCAAUCUCGAGAUGCUCACUAGAAGCUCUAAAGUGUGCGUCGUCAUCUAACCUGCUGACCUUUAGCCCCUGCCCACUGCUAUUAUAACCACAUCUCGUAAUCUUUCAUCAGGUUUAUGUCACUCUGACUAUUUAGGUUUUCACUCCCCCCCCCCCCUUGUGUCUUCUUGUUUCUCUGCUCCUGCACCAGACUUUUUGGACUUACAUGAUUACUGUAACUGAAAAUGUGAAAGGUUAUGGUAUGAAGACUACAUUCCAAAGUCCUUGACUGUAGGAGCUGAGUGACGAAGGGACACUAUGAGGGACAGGACAGUGGGAUUGACACAACUCAGUUCCUUUAUGUAAUCCUACAUUAAAUUUGUUCUCCAUGCUUAUGCAAACAAAUCAUAUGCAAAUGUAUUACUCUUUACCUGCACACUACACUGAUUAAAGAUUAAAUUUUAAUUUACUGUUUUAUAAAACCUGCUCUAAAUGGAAUAAAUCUGAAAUCUCAAAAUCUUCAUUAUCUAAGAAGUAAUAAUACAUGAUAAAUUCUCAAUUCUGAAUAUAAGCGAAUAAAAUAAAUCUAUGUAUGUCCCUGAACAGAGAAGUGUGUGUGUGUGUGUGUGUGUGUGUGUGUGUGUGUGUGUGUUCAUAGACUCAACUGAAAAGUUUCCAUAACAACUUUUUGUUGUUCAAAGCGCAAGGUAAUAUGAUCAGGACUUCAUCGUCAAUAUUGCACGAGAAAACUCACACAAAUAACUUUUUAAAAUACAGUCAGUUUUAUAUUAGAGGUUGAAUGUUUUAUAUACUUGUAACAAUUUAUUACAUUUUCAGGUUGAUUAGACUUUAGUAGAUAUUUAAUGUUUUCUUAUACUGUUAAAUUUUGAUAAUAUCAACUUUUAACUGUUUUAUUAGAUGUAACUUUCAUUAUUUUACAUUUCAUACACUGAGGGCAGCACGGUGGUGUAGUAGUGAGCACUGUCACCUCACAGCAAGAAGGUUCUAGGUUCAAGCCCAGCGGCUGACGGGGGCCUUUCUGUAUAGAGUUUGCAUGUUCUCCCCGUGUCUGCAUGGGUUUCCUCCGGGUGCUCCGGUUUCCCCCAAAGACAUGCAGUUAGGUUAACAUGGGAUGGCCUUGAGCUGAAGUACCCAAGAGUGGCAGCACGCAUGUACGCAGUGGCUUUGCUCUCAUAUGAUGAAAUAAAUUUCAUUGUACAUUUGUGCAGUGACAAUAAAGACAUUUUAUUCUAACUAACUUCUCAUCUCAUCUCAUUAUCUCUAGCCGCUUUAUCCUGUUCUACAGGGUCGCAGGCAAGCUGGAGCCUAUCCCAGCUGACUACGGGCGAAAGGCGGGGUACACCUUGGACAAGUCGCCAGGUCAUCACAGGGCUGACACAUAGACACAGACAACCAUUCACAUUCACAGCUAUGGUCAAUUUAGAGUCACAAGUUAACCUAACCUGCAUGUCUUUGGACUGUGGGGGAAACCGGAGCACCCGGAGGAAACCCACGCGGACACGGGGAGAACAUGCAAACUCCACACAGAAAGGCCCUCACCGGCCACGGGGCUCGAACCCGGACCUUCUUGCUGUGAGGCGACAGCGCUAACCACUACACCACCGUGCCGCCCUAUGUUUAAUAAAGUGUUUUCAUCAUUUAAUUAACUGUUUUCUCUUUUUUUUAAUAGAUCCGAAUAAAAAUUUAUUUGCUUCCA